GGCAGACUCCAGAUUUUGGCUAAUACAAAUAAAAUUCCUGUGAACAUUCGUGUACAGGUUUUUGUGUGAACAAAUGUUCUCAUUUGUCUGGAAUAAAUACCCAGGAAUGCAAACGAUGGUACAUACAGUAAUUGCAUACUUAGUUUUAUAAGAAACUGCCUCUUUUCCAGAAUGGCUGUGCCAUUUCACAUCUAUACCAGCAAUAUAUGAACAAUCUAGUUUCUCUGCAUCCUUGUCAGCAUGUGGUAUCAUCACUAUUUAUUAUUUUAGCCAUUCUGGCACUGGACAUAUAACGCUGAACAAGAUAAUUAUGGGACUUGAACUCUAGAAUUGCAAAUGCUGAUCAACACUAUGAAGGGACUGCAGCAUUGAGAUGACAAGGGGGAGAGACUCAGAUUUAAUUGGCAUGACAUGCAACCUAGAUUGGAUUUUCUGAAAGCUGCAAGAUGAUUCUAAUGGAGCAAAGUUUGACAACCACAGUCACCAAACAAAUGCUUCCUUCACAAAGAAACACUGGUGGCAUGGAGGGAGUGCAAGACCCUGAAGAGAAUAUGCUGAGGUCCUGAAGUGUGCAGCUGGGGCUUAAUGAGCUAGGUCAAGAAGAAGAUAACCAGCACCUCAGAAGCUCUCUUCAUACACCCCUCAACCACUACUCACUGGAUUUGUUUGGCCUAUUUUCAAACAUUGUAUCUAUAAAAUCAUAUAGUAUGCAUUACUUCGUUUUGCUUUUCCAUUCCACAUUAUGUUUGUGAGAUAUAUCAAUGUGACCGUAGGUGGUAGUAGUUUGACCUAUUUCAUUGUUAUAUAGUAUUUCAUCUUAUGCCUAUACCAUGAUUUAUCUAUUCUUCUCUUGAUUAACAUGUAACUUGUUUUCAGUUUGGGAACAGUAUAAAGUUAUGUUGCUAUAAAACAUUUUUACAUGGCUUCUGGCACUACUAAGUACUAUUCAUUGUUGACUCUAUAACAUGGAGUAUUCAUUGCUGGGCCACAGGGUGUGUGUAUGUUUAACUUUAGUUACUACUGUCAAUUCCUUUUCAAAAGUGGUUGUACAGGUACCAAAUUUGUUCUCACACCAGCCAUUUAUGCAGAAUCCAGUGACUCCAUAUCUUUGCCAACACUUGGUAUCUCAUUAUGGUUUUAAUUUUCCUGUUCCUAAUCACUAAUGAAAUUAAGUUUUUUUUUUUUAAGUACCAACACUACUUUAACAGAAUUGACUUUCUGAUAUCAUUGAUUUAUCUUUAUCUAGAACUGCUCUUCAUGGUAGGCAACUCACUAGUUGAUGCCCUUAAAACUUUUCCUUAGAGAGUACAGAUUUUUAAUCUAAAAAUUAGCAAGUGUGUUAUAUGGACAUUUUCUUUGUGUAACAACAACACAGGUAAAAAUAAACAACUUUCUAAAUAUUAAUACCACUUUUAAAAGCUAUUCUGAAAUUCUUUAUCCUUACAAGUAUUUGGUGAAAAGGUGAGGUAAUUUUAUUGGCAUAAAUGUAUAUCUCAUAAUUAUCAACAAACAAAAUGAAUUCCAACUGUAAUACUCAGACACGUUUUGCAUGAAAAGUAACCUGGAAUGGCAAAUGCAAUAGUAUCUCCUUAUUUUUUAGGCCAUUAAAAAUCAUUGCUGGCUGGGCGCAGUGGCUCAUGCCUGUAAUCCAGCACUUUGGGAGGCCGAGGCAGGUGGAUCACCUGAGGUCGGGAGUUCAAGACCAGCCUGGCCAACAUGGUGAAACCCCGUCUCUACUAAAAAUACAAAAAUUAGCCAGGCUUGGUGGUGCAUGCCUGUAGUCCCAGGUACUCGGGAGGCUGAGGCAGGAGAAUCACUUGAACCCAGGAGGCAGAGGUUGCAGUGAGCUGAGAUGGAGCCAUUACACUCCAGCCUGGGUGACAGAGCGAAACUCUGUCUCAAAAAAAAAAAAGAAAAAAUAAUUGCCACUUCCACCCACAUCAUCAAUGAAGAAGGGCAGCAACAAAUUCGGCUACAUAAAGAUGACAAAUAUACAAAGGACAGCCUGUGAGAAGGGACAGGUUUAGAUUUUUGGCUUCAUGCUCAGGUUUCAUAUUUUCCAAUUUGAAUUUCUACUGAUUUUGAUAUCCUUUUUAUGUUCUGAUUAGGCAGAUUAAAUAUGUCUAUAAAGAAUUUUCCAGAUACAUGAUAUUACAUAAGAUCAUAAUAAAAUUAUUUGAAGACACCGG
rnacentral:lncRNA from 1 species